UUCUGAUGAGACUUGAGCAAUGCCC
rnacentral:piRNA from 1 species